CAUAAUAUUACGGGGGGCAGGAACUACCAAAGUGCGCCGCGUUUUGACGUAGAUGCCCUUUAACCUGCCCUGUCUGAAUAUUCUACCUAUAAUUUUGCGUACUAUUUGUUUCCUUAGUAGGCUUGCCUGCUAAAAGGACACUAUACAACCCUUUGUAAUUGCAGUCAGCGUUAGAAAACUAUAAUAAUUA
rnacentral:misc_RNA from 1 species